CGGGUUCUGCCCCUCUCGUGCGAGGCCCUUUUCCAGUGGCCGAUAAUCUCUUCCGAGGGAGCUGGCUCUGCCGGGACCGUGGUCCCGGUAUCUGGCGCCCACCUGGUUCAGCCAGGCUCUCGGGAAAAACACGUCUCCACGGUUGCCGCGGUUCCCGC
rnacentral:other from 1 species